UACGUAGGGUGCGAGCGUUGUCCGGAAUUAUUGGGCGUAAAGAGCUCGUAGGCGGUUUGUCACGUCGGAUGUGAAACCCCGGGGCUUAACUCCGGGCCUGCAUUCGAUACGGGCUGACUAGAGUUCGGCAGGGGAGACUGGAAUUCCUGGUGUAGCGGUGAAAUGCGCAGAUAUCAGGAGGAACACCGGUGGCGAAGGCGGCCCACUGGUCCGGUACUGACGCUGAGGUGCGAAAGCGUGGGGAGCAAACAGG
rnacentral:rRNA from 1 species